rnacentral:rRNA from 1 species
AGGGUUUGAUCCUGGCUCAGAGUGAACGCUGGCGGCGUGGAUAAGGCAUGCAAGUCGGACGAUCCUUGUUACUGAUGCAGAAUGAGACCUUCGGGAGGAUUUUUGCUGAAGUGACGCUGGAUAGUGGCAAACGGGUGAGUAACACGUGGGCAAUGUACCUCGAGGAGGAGAAUAGCUUCAUGAAAGUGAGGGUAAUUCUCCAUGUUCUCUGAAAGCUGAAAUGCUUCAGUGCAAAGGCGGCCUAUCCUUGGAAGCUGUCGCCUUGAGAGCAGCCCGCGUCCUAUCAGAUUGUUGGUAAGGUAACGGCUUACCAAGCCUAUGACGGGUAGUUGGCCUGAGAUGGUGGCCAGCCACACCGGGACUGAGACACUGCCCGGACUCCUACGGGAGGCUGCAGUCGAGAAUCUUUCUCAAUGGACGAAAGUCUGAAGAUGCGACGCCGCGUGAGGGAUGAAGCGUUUCGGCGUGUAAACCUCUUUUAUUAGGGAGGAACGUUACAGAGUUAAUAGCUUUGUAACUUGACUUUACCUUUCGAAUAAGCCACGGCUAACUCCGUGCCAGCAGCCGCGGUAAUACGGAGGUGGCGAGCGUUACUCGGUUUGACUGGGUGUAAAGGGUCCGCAGGCGGGUUGGUUAGUGAAAGGUGAAAUCCCUCGGCUCAACCGUGGAACUGCCUUUCAAACUGCCAAUCUAGAGGAUGGAAGAGGAGAGCGGAACUGCCGGUGUAAGGGUGAAAUCUGUGGAUAUCGGCAGGAACGCCUGUGGUGAAGACGGCUCUCUGGUCCAUUCCUGACGCUCAGGGACGAAAGCUAGGGGAGCAAACAGGAUUAGAUACCCUGGUAGUCCUAGCUGUAAACGAUGGGCACUAGGUGUCCCUGCUUUUUAGCGGGGGUGCCGUAGCUAACGCGUUAAGUGCCCCACCUGGGGACUACGGUCGCAAGACUAAAACUCAAAGGAAUUGACGGGGGCCCGCACAAGCGGUGGAACACGUGGUUUAAUUCGAUGCUACGCGAGGAACCUUACCAGGGCUUGACAUGUGCGCAGUAAUCCUGGUGAAAGUCGGGAUGACCGGUAACCAGUCCGGAACGUACACAGGUGCUGCAUGGCUGUCGUCAGCUCGUGCCGUGAGGUGUUCCCUUAAGUGGGAGAACGAGCGCAACCCUCGCCCUUAGUUGCCACUCCAUGGUUAACUCUGUGGAAGCACUCUAAGGGGACUGCACGCGUUAAGUGUGAGGAAGGUUGGGACGACGUCAAGUCCGCAUGGCCCUUAUGUCCUGGGCAACACACGUGUUACAAUGCUUACUACAAAGGGAGGCGAAACCGUGAGGUGAAGCAAAUCCCAAAAAAAGUAAGCCAAGUUCGGAUUGAGGGCUGCAAUUCGCCCUCAUGAAGCCGGAAUCGCUAGUAAUGGCGCAUCAGCAACGGCGCCGUGAAUACGAUCCCGGGCCUUGUACACACCGCCCGUCAAGCGCUGAAAGUGGGGGGCGCCCGAAGUCUGCUGUAAGCGGACCACGGUGAAUUUCAUGAUUGGCGCUAAGUCGAAACAAGGUA